AGCCCAGAGAAAUUUGGAUUAAUACCUCAUAGUAUGUGAGGAUGGCAUCAUUUCACAUUAAAGUCACAACGGGCAAAAGAUGAGCAUGCGUCCCAUUAGCUAGUUGGUAAGGUAACGGCUUACCAAGGCUACGAUGGGUAGGGGGUCCUGAGAGGGAGAUCCCCCACACUGGUACUGAGACACGGACCAGACUCCUACGGGAGGCAGCAGUGAGGAAUAUUGGACAAUGGGCGCAAGCCUGAUCCAGCCAUGCCGCGUGCAGGAUGACGGUCCUAUGGAUUGUAAACUGCUUUUAUACAGGAAGAAACACUCCGACGUGUCGGAGCUUGACGGUACUGUAAGAAUAAGGAUCGGCUAACUCCGCG
rnacentral:rRNA from 1 species